UACGUAGGGUGCGAGCGUUGUCCGGAAUUAUUGGGCGUAAAGAGCUCGUAGGCGGUGUGUCGCGUCGGCCGUGAAAACCUGGGGCUCAACUCUGGGCGUGCGGUCGAUACGGGCAUCACUUGAGUUCGGCAGGGGAGACUGGAAUUCCUGGUGUAGCGGUGAAAUGCGUAGAUAUCGGGAGGAAUACCUAUGGCGAAAGCAGGCUUCUGGGCCGUCACUGACGCUGAUCUGCGAAAGCUAGGGGAGCAAACAGG
rnacentral:rRNA from 1 species